rnacentral:rRNA from 1 species
UACGUAGGCAGCAAGCGUUGUUCGGAAUUACUGGGCGUAAAGAGUGCGUAGGCGGUUUUCUAAGUUUGGUGUGAAAUCUCCCGGCUUAACUGGGAGGGUGCGCCGAAGACUGGAAGGCUUGAGUAUGGGAGAGGUAAGCGGAAUUCCUGGUGUAGCGGUGAAAUGCGUAGAUAUCAGGAGGAACACCUGCGGUGUAGACGGCUUACUGGACCAUAACUGACGCUGAGGCACGAAAGCGUGGGUAGCAAACAGG